rnacentral:rRNA from 1 species
AUUGAACGCUGGCGGCAGGCUUAACACAUGCAAGUCGAACGAGUGGCGGACGGGUGAGUAAUGUCUGGGAAACUGCCUGAUGGAGGGGGAUAACUACUGGAAACGGUAGCUAAUACCGCAUACCAUCAGAUGUGCCCAGAUGGGAUUAGCUUGUGGGGGGGGUAACGGCUCACCAAGGCGACGAUCACUAGCUGGUCUGAGAGGAGGACCAGCAACACUGGAACUGAGACAGGGUCCAGACUCCUACGGGAGGCAGCAGGGGGGAAUAUUGCACAAUGGGCGAAAGCCUGAUGAAGCCAGGCCGCGUGGAUGAAGAAGGCCUCCGGGUUGUAAAGUACUUUCAGCGGGGAGGCGUUACCCGCAGAAGAAGCACCGGCUAACUCCGUGCCAGCAGCCGCGGUAAUUC